GACGAACGCUGGCGGCGUGCCUAAUACAUGCAAGUCGAGCGGACGGAUGGGAGCUUGCUCCCAGACCGUCAGCGGCGGACGGGUGAGUAACACUUGGGCAACCUGCCUGUAAGACUGGGAUAACUCCGGGAAACCGGGGCUAAUACCGGAUAACUCUUUCCCUCACAUGAGGGAAAGCUGAAAGAUGGCAUCUCGCUAUCACUUACAGAUGGGCCCGCGGCGCAUUAGCUAGUUGGUGAGGUAACGGCUCACCAAGGCGACGAUGCGUAGCCGACCUGAGAGGGUGAUCGGCCACACUGGGACUGAGACACGGCCCAGACUCCUACGGGAGGCAGCAGUAGGGAAUCUUCCGCAAUGGACGAAAGUCUGACGGAGCAACGCCGCGUGAGUGAUGAAGGUUUUCGGAUCGUAAAACUCUGUUGUCAGGGAAGAACAAGUACCGGAGUAACUGCCGGUACCUUGACGGUACCUGACCAGAAAGCCACGGCUAACUACGUG
rnacentral:rRNA from 1 species